rnacentral:lncRNA from 1 species
CUGUUCCGCUAUGUGAAAAAUGUUGAAUAUCAACAAUGGGUUUCAGUGCUGCAUUGUUGAGUUUUGUAUGAACUAAUCUAGCUUCACUAAAAAAAAAAAUAAAGAAGAAGAAAAAAAAGAAAAAGAAGGAAAGAAAGAAGAAAUAAAGGGAAAGAAAAAAAAACGACAGCUUUGAACAAAAGUCCACAGCCAGUGUGUUCCAAGUCCCUGCUCAGGGCUGACUGUGGCAGGGGACACUCUCCUGCUGGCUCUCUCUGUCCACACUUAGCUGGCUCCUGUCCUCAGGUGCACGGCCACACCCUCGCACCCAACCUUGAUCCUCUGAUGGGGAAGGUCCCAGGACUUGUCUGCUGGGACAGGCCUCACCCCCAAGAGCUCUGGGCAGUACCGAGAAGCAAACCUGACAGAUUUCUCCAGAACAGUGGCCAUCCAUGGGAUGAGUGAAAGCCUCUUUCUAUUCCAGGGAUUGCAGAGGCAAAGCUAGACUAGGUCUUGGAGGCUGGUGUAAGGUGGUGCGCGGAAGGCAGGACGCUGAUGGGAGAGACUGGUCGAAGAAAAGCCUAAAUGGAUUCUCCGUGCUUUGGAUGGAGAAAGAGGGGGGAAGUGCGAGCUCCUUCAACUCGUUCUGUCCGGUGAGGAGUGAUCCAGCUUGGGCUGACGAGAGGCUCCGGAGCCUUCACGUUCAGUGCUUUUUACCUGCCAAUCAAACUGCUACAAGACAACACCCUGAUCUGGCAUGGUCGCAUCGAACCUAGAAAUUGUACUUUCCUCAAGAUCCGCUUAAGAGAAUCUGGUUGAUGGCUUUGGUCUGAGAGUUCAGACAUCUCUUGUGCAACUAAGAAAGACCUCAUUUUCCAUUUGCUGGAUCCUCCUGGUUUGUCAUCCCUGAGUCCUGUAAGAAGCUCAUCAGGAGGUCCCCUGCGCCGGAAGGACCAUGUGAGCUCAUCCCAGAUGAUGGGUGGCACCAUGGUUUUAGCAGCUCACACAGUGGAGAACCACAUUUGCUCUGGAAGAGCUUAGCAACAUGUAUUUGAUAACACAACAAGGUCAGCUUGAGCUCUAUCCUUCUGUGGCCAUACUGAACAAAAGGAGAGACAGACAGACAGACAGACAGACAGACAGGCAGGCAGGCAGGCAAGCAGACAGAGGCAGAGACAGGCAGACAGAGACAGAGAAACAGAGAAAUGAUUCCUGAAUUAUUUUUAAAAAUUAAUUUUAAAAUUCAGAUCAAUUAAUCAGUAAUACAUGCCUGUAGUCUCAGCCCUAGAACAGAUCAAACAGGAGAGUCUCAAGACUAAGGUCAGCCUGGACCACUGGUGACUGUUUCAAAGAAAACAAAUUACCAUUUGGGCAUAAUGGCACACGCCUUUUAAUUCCAGUCCUUGGGAGGCAGAGGCAAGUGGGUCUCUGAGUUCGGGACCAGCCUAGUCUACAGAGUGAGUUCCAGGUCAGCCAGGGCUAUACAGAGAAACCUUAUCUCAAACCAGCCAACAAAACCCACAGCAAACCGAAAACAGGUUAUCCUUUAAAAAGACGAUUUAGCUGGGCAGUGGUGGCACAUGCCUUUAAUCCCAGCACUUGGGAGGCAGAGGGAGGUGGGUUUCUGAGUUCGAGGCCAGCCUGGUCUACAAGGUGAGUGCCAGGACAGCCGGGACUAUACAGAGAAACCCUGUCUCAAAAAAAAAACAACAACAACAACAACAACAAAAAAGACAAUUUAGCCAGAUAUGAUGGCUCAUGCCUUUAAUCCCAGCACUUGCAAGGUAGACACAGGCAGCGAGUUCAAAUCUAUCCAGGUCUAUAUAUUGAAUUCCAGGACACCCAGGGGUACAGAUUAGAGAGACUUCAUGUUUAACAACACACACACACACACACACACACACACACACACACACCCCACUAUGUGAAUACACAGGUUUAUGUGCAUCCUAUCCCAGAGAGCCUGUGGUGAUUAUAAAACAGUAAAAAUAGGGCACAGUAGACAGCACCUUCGAGAUCAGCUUAGAACACUUACCUGUCACUUCUGUGUCACUUUUGGUGUGGCAGUUAUUAUAUUUCUAUAAUUCAUCUUUUGAGGGAGGCUCAGAAUCGGUAUGAAAUGAUAUAUGUUUACCUCUUUACUCUGUGAAUCAGGCUCUCAUAUAGUCUAAGCUGGCCUUGAACUCCUGGUAUAGCAGAGGGUGGCCUUGAUCUGGGAGCAAAGGUGCUGUCAUUUCCAGCAGAGAAAUGAUAUCUAGACCAAAGACACAGUUUUUAUUAUAUAGCCAAUGCUUCUUUAAAUGCCUGGCAACCCUCCCUUCUGCAGUGCUUGAUGGUGUGUUACUGAAGGAGUUUUCCUAAACACCAGCACAAAUGAACGGGCACACAUCAAGCAUACAAGACCUGGAGGAGGGAGGGGGCCCUGCCGAUUCCUCAGAUGCAGUGAUGGAUGAGAAAAGUAAGGGUGGACCAGAGCAGCCACAGCAUUGAAAGUCUGUGGUUUCAUUUCACAGAAGUAGUUGUUCAGCUCUGUACUUGGUUUGCCAUUGGCAGUGUUGUAUAGGGGGCUGAGGCUCAAACCCAGGCCCUUACCACUAGGGACUGUCAUUCUUAGCCUUCCAACCUUAAAAACAAACAAAACAACAACAACAAAAACUUAUUUUGAUUUUCAUUUAAUUUCAUAUUGCACCCAGGAACUAUUUUAAGAAAUCUUGUGUCAUAACCUGUGACCAAAAGUUAAGUAGCAGUUUUCCUAAUGUGUCUGCGUUUGCUAUAAAGAAUUGAAACUGAGCCAGGCAGUGUUGGUGCAUGCCUUUAGUCUCAGCACUUGGGAGGCAGUAGCAGAUGGAUUUCUGAGUUCGAGGCCAGCCUGGUCUACAGAGUGAGGACAGGACAGCCAGGGCUAUACAGAGAAACCCUAUCUCCAAAGCCGGAACAAAAAAAGGUUUGAAACUGUGUGAGUAUUUUCAUUGUCUGGCACUUUAUAACAGGUCUUAUUUGGUAUUGACAUUGGUAUUUGGAAUGAGCAUUUGAAGGUUUUAAAAGCUUCAGUAUUUAUUUUGUUCUAAAAUAAAGUACCUUUUCCCUCUGUG